AACGAACGCUGGCGGCAUGCCUAACACAUGCAAGUCGAACGAGAACUUCGGGUCUAGUGGCGCACGGGUGCGUAACGCGUGGGAACCUGCCCUUAGGUUCGGAAUAACUCCCCGAAAGGGGUGCUAAUACCGGAUAAUGUCUUCGGACCAAAGAUUUAUCGCCUUUGGAUGGGCCCGCGUUGGAUUAGCUAGUUGGUAGGGUAAAAGCCUACCAAGGCGACGAUCCAUAGCUGGUCUGAGAGGAUGAGCAGCCACACUGGGACUGAGACACGGCCCAGACUCCUACGGGAGGCAGCAGUGGGGAAUAUUGGACAAUGGGCGAAAGCCUGAUCCAGCAAUGCCGCGUGAGUGAUGAAGGCCUUAGGGAUGUAAAGCUCUUUUACCCGGGAUGAUAAUGACAGUACCGGGAGAAUAAGCUCCGGCUAACUCCGUG
rnacentral:rRNA from 1 species